rfam:Trichoplax adhaerens isolate Grell Red Sea mitochondrion, complete genome.
GGCAGGGUAGACUAAUGGCAAGUUACUGGGCUCAUGUCCCAUUGAUUUAGGUUCGAUUCCUAACUCUGCUA